GGUAUGGGCUUAUUUAUAUAAAAAGAAAAAAAAACAAAUUCAUAAAUUGUAACCCAAAAGAUAUAAUGAUAACUGUGGCAACAUUCUUGUUUUUUAAAGCUAAGCAAGCUCAGGAACUGUUUUAAGGAUGUACUGGGGUCUUUUGAGUGUACCCUAAACCACCGUGACUAUAGGAUGUCCAAGAAUUGUGAUUCUCAACCAAAGGGAAGGCUGAGUCCUCUUUCCCUGAUUUCCUGUAAUGGAAAAAGACUGCUCUGUGCAAGUGGAGCUUAAAGGAUCUUGCUGAGACCUUUCCUGUUUGUUUACAGAAGGGGUACAAGGAGCAUCCUGGCAACACAACGGAGAGAAACCUCUCAGGGCAGAGCUACACCGAUAUGGGAGGAUGUGGCAGCAACAGGAUCACCCUGAGGGAAACACAUCUUUCCAGACAUGGAAAGCAAAGGGGACACGUUGGCGCAUCUGUCAAGAUUCCCGCUCUGGAAAAGAAGAUCAGAGCAAAUGGGGACUGAGGAGAACAAAAGCUGACCCAAACCUUUGACCUAAACUUAACAUAAAGCCAAAUGAAACCUUAGAGGAAACAAUAAUUGAUUAUUGUCUCACUCCUUGCGUUGGAUGAAUCCUGUGUUCUCUGAGUGAAGGCUAAUGAGCCAGCCUCCAUCCUUGACAAGAUCUGGAGCAAGGCAGUGGCUUCCACAGCUCCCCACAAAUUUCUGCAGUGCAAAAGGGCUGACCCACAACUCAAGCACCGUGGGGCCAAGCUUCCCAAGACCAUCUUCUUCGCAGCCGCUCUGUGUGGUGACAUCUUGGCAUCGUACAUGGAGAAGCGGUUUACAAGAGCCCCUAGGACUGACCAGAGAUCUCCACCAUGCCCCAGUCAUCCUCCUGUCACACUGCUGAUUCAACCAAUGCCCUCCCAAUCCUGCCCAUAGAGCAACUACAGGGGACAUGUGAUGCCACGGCAAGUACCCAGCCAGCAGCAGCGUGAACCGAUGCGCUCGCUAUUUAAUAUGCAGAGGAAAUGAGUCGCAACUAAGUUCAUUGCACACAUCCAUUACGUGAGAGAAGCAUCAAUAUUUCUGUAAAUCCACCAGGGAAUUUAUUCAUCUCAGCCUCCAGCAAUGGUGGAUUCCCCUGGUGACUAGUGCAAUUCGGAAGCGCGUACAGCCAUAAUGAGAAAGUACCGUGGUUUCCCUUAAAGUAAUAUAGUGGUUAUUGCUGAUAGUUACUGCCUUUGUGAAGUAUUAAUGCGUGGUUAUAGUGCAGUCAUGUAGCAAAAUUAUAGGGGCCUGUGGAAUGUUACUUAGCAACACUUGCUAAUGUUGAGGUGGUAAUGAAGAAAUGGAGUAAAAGAAAUACAGAGUAUAUUGGAGUCAUAAAAUAAACCAUGGUGUGGCUUCAGAAAGCAGUUCUGAAGGUAAAGGUUUUGUCUAUUUCUCUUUUUGCCAUGUGAAUCUGGCAGAAGAACUUAAGAGCUGAUCUGAAGCAACACAUUUGAAACAUCUAAGUAACAGAAACAAGCAUUAUGUUUUUGUUUGUUUGUUUGUUUGUUUGUUUAUAAUUGUUGCUGCCUGGGAAAAGCAUCGGAAUUGCUGGGUGUUUGAAGAUCCUUUCCCUGUCAUUUCAAACCCACCCCGAAGCACUAGCUGGCCAAUUAAAAUAAUCUCUCCUUUGGAAAGCCAGCAUUUGUCAGAGUUAAGAAUGAAGGCUUCUUUCUACUACAUCUAUUUUCCCCAUUCAUUCAUUUACAUAACUCCCUCCACCGUUAAUCAAGUGCUUGGAGGCAUAUCUCAAGAAAGGGUAAGGCCAUAAAAAUAAAGGCAGGCAUUUCUAGUUAUAGAUGAACCUUCCACAUGUUGCAGAUCUGUCUCAGCCAGUUAUCUUGGUUUAUCUCCACCUGUUUAAAUUGGAAAACACACAAAAAUCCAUCUCCCAUGAGAUUUCCAAGGUUUCUUGAUUUCAUUUGGGUCAGAACUGCCACAAGAGAUGCAUUUCUCAGAGCACUUCUGAGCUGCUGCCAGGAACAGGGAGUGCUGGACUGUGCCACUUAAAAAAAAAAAAAAAAAAGUUUUCUUUGAAAAGUCACCAAAUUUUAUAAGCUUUAAAAAAAAAGAAAAUUGGCCUAGUUCAGUCUCGGCUAUGAUUAAAAGAGCUGCCCUGAUUUAUUGGUGUCAAACAAAGUAUGUUUGGGUAGAACAUUAUUUUGUAAUGGAAAAAGUAUCAGUGGAAGCACUGCUUGGACUGGAUAAGGACUGGGCCUUAAAUUAUAAGAUUCUUUAAUACUGGAGAAAAGGAGGACUGCUGAAAAUGUUGUAACUAGAAGGCCAUCUCUUAGUCUACCAGAUAAAGGUAGCUGUGAAUUCAACCUUAACAACAUUUGGGGUUCUGCUGAUUAAAUGGUGAUAUUUGCCGCCUUUGUGCCUCACCCUGGCCCUGCAAAGCAAACGGGAAGGAGUUUCUCAUUCCUGUCCCACCAGGAGUGUUGAGCCAUGAAUAUGGAGUGAUGGUUUGGGGGAUGUUUCACAGGAAAAGCUUUCUGUA